CUUUUGCUUUCAUUUCUGCACAUUUGGUGCCAGCAUAUUUCCCUGACAAGUGAUGCAAGAGGUGACGGCAAGAGUUCAUUGACCGUGGAGAUGCCUACGCAGGGAAUCACUUUCCUUCUUCUGCAGAGCCUCCCAAAAACCUGUGAUGUUCUGAUGAAACCCAUUCUGCUGCAAAUCUCCCUGCCCAGGUGAUACCGGAGAUCUGUUUGGAAUUGCAGAUGAAAACAUGAGAAAAAACAUGAGGAAGGAAUCUAAGAUCGCAAUAGUCCUUACUGCAAUAACAGACGAUGAGCAACAAGGACAAGAAAUCCUGGAGUAACUCAGGGGUCUGUGGUUGUCAUUUGGGAAGGACACAUUCAUGUUUCAAUCAAUCAAGCCAAUAUGCCAGAGUGAGCUUUGAAAGGCCAUGGCGUGAAAGUGCUUAUAAAGUGACAGUGGCCAAGAUUACCUUCACCAGAUUCGCUCCAUGACACCACUUCGACAGAGUUUAAAGGCCAGAAAGAUUAUAUUAUUUGCUAGUUCCUUGGUCUGGAAAGGCUCAGCCAGUCUAUGCCAAACGUAUCCACUACCACCAGAGAGGUGAUUGUCAUGCAGGUGAAUGACACUGCAAAUAGAGGCAGAAACAUAUGUCUGCAACAUGAAGCAGGGGGGUGAGUAGUGGCUAUUUCAUUCUCCUCUCCAGUGUCAUGCAACAGGUCUGCUGCCAUAUCAUACAGGGAGGAUGUAGCAUAUGUCUCGUUCAUCUGCCUGAGUCAUGUGGUUGGAAAUGAGGCAGCAGUAGCUGCUUUAAGAAAUACUUUUCCCUUUGUGGAAUUAGUUAUGUUCAUUUAGAAUAAAUAUUGAGACUGAAUCAGAGGGUAGGACAGAAUAUUUCACUGUCAUGAUGUCAGGUGGGAAUUUGGAGAAAGGCUACUUAUAUUGUGAAGGACAGGGAACUUCAAGAAGAACAUGAAGAAGGAAGGACAGCAGACCUGUGAUAUCUUAGUCUGGGAAGUGUGUGAUGAUGACACAGACCUCCUGAGUUCUCUGAUCCAAAGCAAACAGCACAGACUAUGGACAUACGGGAAAAAAAGCAGAGUCUCAGGAGGAUGCAUUUCCGCAUGUUUGGCCUGGUUUUGUGAUUGUAGUUUUUUG
ensembl:lncRNA